CGGGUACUGCCCGGUGCGUGGGGUAUCAUAACCCUGGGGCCAAUGCUCAUCUCUAUGGGAGCUGUCCCUGCCGAGGCCGUGGUCUCGAUCAUACGGCGCCCACCUGGUACGCCAGGCCACAGAGGUUUGCUAACACUCACGGCCAGGGUGGUCCCGUC
rnacentral:other from 1 species